UGCAACUAAAUUUCCAUUACUUUCGACAUCAUGAUCUCCUUCAUUUAAUUCCCCCAACAUCUUCUGACAUUCUUUUCCGUCUCUAUCAUUUUCAAUGUCUUUUUCCAUAAUUACUUCCUCCAUAACGUUUCGAUUGCCUUCCAGAGAUUUCUUCGAUUCCAAUCCAAUCGCCGAUUCUGAUUCCGACACACUUUCUUCAACCUCCUACUGUCGUAUCUCCUUUUUCGAGAUAUUGCUUUUAUAUUCUUCCGGCCAUCCCUUUUCUUUUACACUGAUCGGAAAACUAAUAUCUCCCACCUCCAGUAUUACUACUUCAAUUUUUCUCAAUUGUUUGAUUGAAAUCAACAUCUCAAUUUUCUCAUAGUUGGUUGUUUUUGUCAAGUUCUCCCCCAUCGAAACCAAAUUGCCCCAAUUGCCAGCAACCCUUUUGAACUUUUCGUAAUUCCAGCAAUGCAGAGGACUACUCACACACUGGCGCUGGAAGGCCGGAGGCAAUAGGCCUGUGGUGUCUGGCCAGAUGGAGUUCUUGAUUCUGUGAAGACGAUGGCGAUGAUGGAUCGAUUGGCUUAGAAUCAAAAAUACCAGGGUUUUUCUUGACUCAGCUUUGAAAAUGGUGAAGACUUACCGCUCCUCCAGUUAUGGAUUCAAAGCUUCGUUCUCUUCUCUUCCUAAUCUUAAGAUCUUUUUCAGAAGGAGAAGCGAUACGUCUGUUGGCGGAUAUUGGGUUUUGAAAUUAGCUGCAGUUUUUUUGGGUUUAGGGUGGUUUUUCUUAUGCUAUUUUGGUUUUGAUUGUUUUUUAGGUUGUGUUGGCUUUUAGUUUAGGCUUUUUAAUUUCUCUGUCUUUUCAUUUUCUGUUCUGACUAUGUCUUUUCAUCUUUGCCUUAAGCCAUGUAAUUUUAAUAUAUCAACCAAUUUUUCAUGCAAAAAAUAAUAAUAAUAAUAAUGUGGAAUGGGUUUGAAAUUUGUCCUCCAUA